UGGCGUGAUUCGCUUCCACGAAUCUUAUGCUGCACAACAGGUAGUGCAGACGCUGACCAUGCACUUUCUGGUGCAUUUCGGUCACACGUGCCGGAAGUUGUAAGUCAAUGCUUGAGUAACAAGUGUUGUGUUAACUCUUCCCCUCUUAAAUCGAUUGUCCCCAAUCGGUGUUGCUCGUAGGGUAUGCCGUUGUUAUUUGCAAAAAAGGAGCUUUCUGCACGUUUACUAUGUCCUCUGCACUAGAUUCAGGUGACAUAUAUACUUUUUGACGAUUUUUAUAUAGAAAUGCUACUAUAACGAUUAUAAUGAUAAUUAUUGUUACAUCGGAUCUUAAGCUAAUUACUGAAGAAUUGAAGCAUGUUCGCGAAUAACGUUGUAAGCGACAAUUUUUUCAAAACCGGUUUUUUUGCAGAUUACUGUUAUAAUGGCUCUCUUUUCCAAAUCAAAAUUUGGCAUAUUAUUACACUUGUUCGUAUUCAAAUCGCAUUUUAAUACAAGCACUCAGUGGAAUAACGUUUCAAGUGACUUAUUUAUUGUGUGUAGAAUGGCAAAAACUGAGUGUUCUCGUGUGCUUGAUAAGUGUGUUAGAGGCUCCAACAGGAAAAUAAAUUUAGAAAAUUGGAAAGAUUUCAAUAAUAAAAAGCUAAGAAAUAGUGGGCAAUCUUAUAUUAAUAGAAAAAAAAAACAAGUUAUACCAGCAAAAAAUGUCCCAAAGCAGCAAAAAUUAUAACGAGCAAUGUUUAUUUCUAUCCUCACUUCUUGAAUUGAGCGAGCCAAAAAGAAGAAGAGUUGAAGAGGGGAGUUCUAUACGAAAUACAACAGUAUUUUAUUUUUUGGUGCUUUCAAACGGAAAAAGAGAGAGAGUGUGCAAAAAAAUGUUUUGUCACACAUUUCAGAUAACGCAGCGCAGAGUUCAAAUUUUGGUUAAAAAAGUAAAAUAUGGGAAAAACAUUGAUGAUCAGCGAGGAAAACAUGAAAAUCGUCCCCACAAAAUCAUAGAACAGGAAAAACUGAGCGUUGAUGAACACAUAGUAAGCUUUCCCAGCCAAGAAAGUCACUAUGGUCGUUCAACAUCUCGAAAAAUUGUCUUAACCCCAAUUUAAAUAUUAAAACAAUGUACGAGUUAUACAAAGUUAAAUAUCCGGAUACCCAAAUUUCGUACAGCACAUAUAAGCACAUUUUUCAUACAGAACACAAACUACGAUUUGGUUUCCCAAGAAGUGAUACUUGCAAGGUUUGUGACAAGUAUUUUAUUGAUAUGAUUGCCGCUGAAAAUACGAAACGAUUUGAAAAUAUUCAAAAAUUGGCGACAGCUCAUCACGAGCAAGCAGAUAAAGCAUAUCUAUGCGCAACUUCGAGAUGAUUCCAACGCUGGCAAAAAUUCACAAAAUACCGCAGUCAUAUGUGUCGAUAUGCAGCAAGUGAUUUUCACACCGAAUCUCACACAUUGUGAUGUAUUUUAUCAUCGACAGUAUUCUAAUUAUAAUUUUGCUGUCCAUAAUAUCUCAGAAAAUACGGUCGAUAUGUACACAUGGCACGAAACGAUUGCUAAAAGAGGAGCUGCUGAAAUAGCUUCAUGUAUUUGGAAACACAUUACAUCAAAAUUCAGUAUUCUGGAAACUGAUCAAAUUAGAAAAUUGAUUAUAUGGUCCGAUAGAUGCGUUGGACAAAAUAACAACUGGACUAUGAUUGCUUUGUGCCACAGCCUUCUGAUCAAAUACUUUUCUGAAGUGAAUCAAAAAUUUCUUACUUCAGGGCACAGCUUUCUGCCAUGCGACCGGGAUUUUGCACUUAUCGAAAAAAAGAAAAAAACAGCUCAACUUUAUACACAGGCAGAUGUGUGUCAUAUGAUUCAUUUUGCAAGGCCUUCGAAUCCAUUGCAGAUUCAUCAAAUGGCUCUAUAUGAAUUUAAAAACUUCGAGAUGCUAGUCAAAAAUUUAUAUAGAAAUCCUUUGUGCAAAAUAACUGCUGCAAAGUGGAUACAAAUUUCUAGAUACGAUCCAAAAACACUUAAAAUGCGUAAGCAGCAUAAUAUAGCAGAAGCAUGGACUUCUUAUAAUUUGUGCUCAAAAAAAAAAACAUAAAUUAUGCGAAUUAUACUUUGCCAAUGCUCAGGAAUGAUACAAUAAACGUAAGUGAUGAAAAGAAGUAGGACCUUCUGGCAAUGGCGUCGUAUUUACCAGAAAACUGUGCACAGUUUUAUAAACAGUUGCCAAGACAUAUAUUGACCAAUACAUAUGUAUAUUGAUACUCUAUACUAUUUACUAUAUAUCCGUUGUGAAUUACAUUUUGCGGAAAUAUCGUUUAAAUUUAUUUGAAAUAAAAGAUUUUUCGUUUUGUUUAUAACCUUCUUUGUUCGUUUGUAUUACUGAAAUACAUUUUUUUUGGUUUUGAAACCUUUACUUUCCAAAUCUUCUUCUUCUUCUUUACUGGCGUAGACACCGCUUACGCGAUUAUAGCCGAGUCAACAACAGCGCGCCAAUCGUUUCUUCUCUUCGCUACGUGGCGCCAAUUGGAUAUUCCAAGCGAGGCCAGGUCCUUCUCCACUUGGUCCUUCCACCGGAGUGGAGGUCUUCCUCUUCCUCUGCUUCCCGCGGCGGGUACUGCGUCGAAUACUUUCAGAGCUGGAGUGUUUUCAUCCAUCCGGACAACAUGAC